GACGAACGCUGGCGGCGUGCUUAACACAUGCAAGUCGAACGAAGUGGCGAACGGGUGAGUAACGCGUAAUCAACCUGCCCUUCAGAGGGGGACAACAGUUGGAAACGACUGCUAAUACCGCAUACUGAAGUAGGGGAUUGCGUCUGAUUAGCUAGUUGGAGGGGUAACGGACCACCAAGGCGAUGAUCAGUAGACGGUCUGAGAGGAUGAACGGCCACAAUGGGACUGAGACACGGCCCAGACUUAUACGGAAGGCAGCAGUGGGGAAACUUCCGCAACGGAGGAAAGUCUGACGAAGCAACGCCGCGUGAGGGAUGACGGGCUUCGGGUUGUAAAGCUCUGUUAAUCGGGACGCGGUACCGGAAGAGAAAGCCACGGCUAACUACGUGCCAGCAGCCGCGGUAAUAC
rnacentral:rRNA from 1 species